AAAGAAUAGAGUUGACUAAAUCCGGGGCUAAAUAAUCAUGUAAAAGAUCCACAUUCCAUUGAACAUUAAUCAUCAAAUCAUAGAAAAAUUGGGGCAAUUGAAAGUUUAAGGGUCUAGAUACCAGCGGCCGCGGAGGAAUCACUAGUAACCAGUUGGAGCUGAUUGGAACUUCUGACCCGGAGCCAAUUAACCAUCGACCCCAAACCAGUAAAAGUUCCUGGCCAAGAAGGAUUCUCAACCAUCCCUAGCUUGGAAUCGUACCUUUAACGACAGUGAG
rnacentral:lncRNA from 1 species